rnacentral:rRNA from 1 species
UACGAAGGGGGCUAGCGUUGCUCGGAAUCACUGGGCGUAAAGGGUGCGUAGGCGGGUCUUUUAAGUCAGGGGUGAAAUCCUGGAGCUCAACUCCAGAACUGCCUUUGAUACUGAGGAUCUUGAGUUCGGGAGAGGUGAGUGGAACUGCGAGUGUAGAGGUGAAAUUCGUAGAUAUUCGCAAGAACACCAGUGGCGAAGGCGGCUCACUGGCCCGAUACUGACGCUGAGAAGCGAAAGCAUGGGGAGCGAACAGG